AACGAACGCUGGCGGCAUGCCUAACGCAUGCAAGUCGAACGAAGCCUUCGGGCUUAGUGGCGCACGGGUGCGUAACGCGUGGGAAUCUGCCCUUGGGUUCGGAAUAACAGUUGGACACGACUGCUAAUACCGGAUGAUGACGAAAGUCCAAAGAUUUAUCGCCAGAGGAUGAGCCCGCGUAGGAUUAGCUAGUUGGUGUGGUAAAGGCGCACCAAGGCGACGAUCCUUAGCUGGUCUGAGAGGAUGAUCAGCCACACUGGGACUGAGACACGGCCCAGACUCCUACGGGAGGCAGCAGUGGGGAAUAUUGGACAAUGGGCGAAAGCCUGAUCCAGCAAUGCCGCGUGAGUGAUGAAGGCCCUAGGGUUGUAAAGCUCUUUUACCCGGGAUGAUAAUGACAGUACCGGGAGAAUAAGCCCCGGCUAACUCCGUGCCAGCCGCCGCCGUAA
rnacentral:rRNA from 1 species